rnacentral:rRNA from 1 species
GACGAACGCUGGCGGCGCGCCUAACACAUGCAAGUCGAGCGACGAAAGGGCCUUCGGGCCCCUGAAAGCGGCGAACGGGUGAGUAACACGUGGGUAACCAACCCUCGGUUCCGGGAUAGCCCGGGGAAACUCGGAUUAAUACCGGAUGGCCUCUCGGGUCCACGGGCCCGGGAGAAAAGGGAGCUUCGGCCUCCGACCGGGGACGGGCCCGCGGCCGAUUAGCUAGUUGGCGGGGUAACGGCCCACCAAGGCGACGAUCGGUAGCUGGUCUGAGAGG